rnacentral:rRNA from 1 species
GUGCCAGCCGCCGCGGUAAGACGAACCGUGCGAACGUUGUUCGGAUUCACUGGGCUUAAAGGGCGCGUAGGCGGAUCACCAAGUCCGGGGUGAAAUCUUUCGGCUCAACCGGAAAAUGGCCUGGGAUACUGGUGGUCUUGAGGGAGGUAGGGGCAUGCGGAACUUCCGGUGGAGCGGUGAAAUGCGUAGAUAUCGGAAGGAACGCCGGUGGCGAAAGCGGCGUGCUGGACCUCUUCUGACGCUGAUGCGCGAAAGCCAGGGGAGCAAACGGGAUUAGAUACCCCCGUAGUCC